rnacentral:lncRNA from 1 species
GUACUAGCAGAGAACAGGGAAAUGUCCACCAUGUCUCAUGUCAUAACAACCAUUAUAAUCCUCGUACUUUCCUAUACAGAGUACAUCCUGGAAGGGCACCAUUCAAGCAUAUAGAGGUGUGUCCUGAACAGAGAAUUCCUCAUGGGUUUGGCCAACUUCAUGUGACAGAGGGAGUGAGAAUAAAUGUGAGCAUCAACCUAUGACUGUGAUGCAGAGAAAAUCAUGGGACGACAGGGAAAGCAUUUCCCAAGGAGGAGCAGAAACAGUGGGAUCUGUUCAGGGGACACAGCUGAGUGACAAGAGUUCUCUGAUGUCAUAUGCCUUCAAUUAACACUAAAAGGAUUAUCAAUGAAAACAACACAGGUGAUUACUGAAAUCACAUGACAAUCUGCAAUUUUCAGAAGCAUCUCUAGAUGAUGUGCAGUAAGUAAGCAUUAGUUCUUACUAUAGUUGGAAUUAAAGCAUGACCAAAAGUUGUAAAUUACUGAUACAAUAUUUCCCAGCA